GUGCUCGCUUUGGCAGUACAUAUACUAACAUUGGAACAAUACAGAGAAGAUUAGCAUGGCCCCUGCACAAGGACAACAUGCAAAUUCGUGAAGCGUUCCAUAUUUUU
ensembl:snRNA U6 U6 spliceosomal RNA